rnacentral:rRNA from 1 species
GAAUCUUGGACAAUGGGGGCAACCCUGAUCCAGCGACGCCGCGUGGGUGAUGAAGGCCUUCGGGUUGUAAAGCACUUCCAGCGGGGAGGAAGGGUGUUGUGUUAAUAGCACAGCAUUUUGACGUUACCCGCGGAAGAAGCACCGGCUAACUCCGUGCCAGCAGCCGCGGUAAUACGGAGGGUGCAAGCGUUAACCGGAAUUACUGGGCGUAAAGCGCACGUAGGCGGUAUGUUAAGUUGGAUGUGAAAGCCCCGGGCUCAACCUGGGAAUUGCAUUCAAAACUGGCACGCUAGAGUAUGUGAGAGGGGGGUAGAAUUCCAAGUGUAGCGGUGAAAUGCGUAGAGAUUUGGAGGAAUACCAGUGGCGAAGGCGGCCCCCUGGCACAAUACUGACGCUCAGGUGCGAAAGCGUGGGGAGCAAACAGG